UACAGAGGUCCCGAGCGUUGUUCGGAUUCACUGGGCGUAAAGGGUGCGUAGGCGGUUCUGAAAGUCUGAUGUGAAAUCUCCGGGCCCAACCCGGAAAUGGCAUUAGAAACUGCAGGGCUAGAGGCUUGGAGGGGGAACUGGAAUGCUCGGUGUAGCAGUGAAAUGCGUAGAGAUCAAGCGGAACACCAGUGGCGAAGGCGAGUUCC
rnacentral:rRNA from 1 species